UGCAGGAUAGCUCAGUCAGUAAAGCGAGACUCUUAAUCUCAGGGUUAUGGAUUCGAGUCCCACUUUGGGCAA